rnacentral:rRNA from 1 species
UGCAAGUCGAACGGGGUAGCAAUACCCAGUGGCGCACGGGUGCGUAACGCGUAGGCAACCUGCCCUGAAGUGGGGAAUAACCACCGGAAACGGUGGCUAAUACCGCAUAUUGAGCUGGAGGGACAUCCUUCCGGUUUGAAAGCUAUAUGCGCUUCAGGAUGGGCCUGCGUUGGAUUAGGUAGUUGGUAGGGUAACGGCCUACCAAGCCGACGAUCCAUAGCUGGUCUGAGAGGAUGAUCAGCCACACUGGCACUGAGACACGGGCCAGACUCCUACGGGAGGCAGCAGUGAGGAAUCUUGCGCAAUGGAGGAAACUCUGACGCAGCCACGCCGCGUGAAGGAUGACACCCCUAUGGGGCGUAAACUUCUUUUCUGCGGGAAGAACGCCGGUCUUGGACCGGGAUGACGGUACCGCAGGAAUAAGCACCGGCUAACUCCGUGCCAGCAGCCGCGGUAAUACGGAGGGUGCAAGCGUUGUCCGGAUUUAUUGGGUGUAAAGGGUGUGUAGGCGGACCCGUAAGUCAGAGGUGAAAGUCGGCGGCUUAACCGUUGGAUUGCCUUUGAUACUGCGGGUCUUGAAUCCUGGAGGGGCCACUAGAAUUCGUGGUGUAGCGGUGAAAUGCGUAGAUAUCACGAGGAAUACCAGAGGCGUAGGCGAGUGGCUGGACAGGAAUUGACGCUGAGGCACGAAAGCGUGGGGAGCGAACAGGAUUAGAUACCCUGGUAGUCCACGCCGUA